ACGAACGCUGGCGGCGUGCUUAACACAUGCAAGUCGAACGGAAAGGCCCUGCUUUUGUGGGGUGCUCGGGUGGCGAACGGGUGAGGAACACGUGAGUAACCUGCCCUUGACUUUGGGAUAACUUCAGGAAACUUGGGCUAAUACCGGAUAGGAGCUCCUGCUGCAUGGGGGGGGUUGGAAAGUUUCGGCGGUUGGGGAUGGACUCGCGGCUUAUCAGCUUGUUGGUGGGGUAGUGGCUUACCAAGGCUUUGACGGGUAGCCGGCCUGAGAGGGUGACCGGCCACAUUGGGACUGAGAUACGGCCCAGACUCCUACGGGAGGCAGCAGUGGGGAAUAUUGCACAAUGGGCGGAAGCCUGAUGCAGCAACGCCGCGUGCGGGAUGACGGCCUUCGGGUUGUAAACCGCUUUCGCCUGUGACGAAGCGUGAGUGACGGUAAUGGGUAAAGAAGCACCGGCUAACUACGUG
rnacentral:rRNA from 1 species